CCUACGGGUGGCAGCAGUGAGGAAUAUUGGACAAUGGAGGGAACUCUGAUCCAGCCAUGCCGCGUGCAGGAAGACUGCCCUAUGGGUUGUAAACUGCUUUUGUACGGGAAGAAACACCCCCACGUGUGGGGGUUUGACGGUACCGUAAGAAUAAGGACCGGCUAACUCCGUGCCAGCAGCCGCGGUAAUACGGAGGGUCCGAGCGUUAUCCGGAAUCAUUGGGUUUAAAGGGUCCGUAGGCGGGCGGCUAAGUCAGUGGUGAAAGUCUGUGGCUCAACCAUAGAAUUGCCAUUGAUACUGGUCGUCUUGAAUCGAUGUGAAGUGGUUAGAAUGAGCAGUGUAGCGGUGAAAUGCAUAGAUAUUGCUCAGAAUACCGAUUGCGAAGGCAGAUCACUAACAUCGUAUUGACGCUGAGGGACGAAAGCGUGGGGAGCGAACAG
rnacentral:rRNA from 1 species